GAACAGCAAAAUGAGCUAACUUUUCUUGUGACUGUCUUAUUCUGCUUCUGCCUUUCAACAACCAUAUCAGAGGAGAGUUCAUGAGUUUAUGUCUUCAUGAGG